UUGUCCAGGCAAAUCCGGAUAAUCAAGGCUGAGGUGUGAUGACGAGGCACUACGGUGCUGAAGUAACAAAUGCCCUGCUUCCAGGAAAAGCCUCUAAGCAUCAGGUAACAUCAAAUCGUACCCCAAACCGACACAGGUGGUCAGGUAGAGAAUACCAAGGCGCUUGAGAGAACUCGGGUGAAGGAACUAGGCAAAAUGGUGCCGUAACUUCGGGAGAAGGCACGCUGGUGUGUAGGUGAAGUCCCUGCGGAUGGAGCUGAGACCAGUCGAAGAUACCAGCUGGCUGCAACUGUUUAUUAAAAACACAGCACUGUGCAAACACGAAAGUGGACGUAUACGGUGUGACGCCUGCCCGGUGCCGGAAGGUUAAUUGAUGGGGUUAUCCGUAAGGAGAAGCUCUUGAUCGAAGCCCCGGUAAACGGCGGCCGUAACUAUAACGGUCCUAAGGUAGCGAAAUUCCUUGUCGGGUAAGUUCCGACCUGCACGAAUGGCGUAAUGAUGGCCAGGCUGUCUCCACCCGAGACUCAGUGAAAUUGAACUCGCUGUGAAGAUGCAGUGUACCCGCGGCAAGACGGAAAGACCCCGUGAACCUUUACUAUAGCUUGACACUGAACAUUGAGCCUUGAUGUGUAGGAUAGGUGGGAGGCUUUGAAGCGUGGACGCCAGUCUGCGUGGAGCCAACCUUGAAAUACCACCCUUUAAUGUUUGAUGUUCUAACGUUGGCCCCUUACCGGGGUUGCGGACAGUGUCUGGUGGGUAGUUUGACUGGGGCGGUCUCCUCCCAAAGCGUAACGGAGGAGCACGAAGGUUAGCUAAUCCUGGUCGGACAUCAGGAGGUUAGUGCAAUGGCAUAAGCUAGCUUGACUGCGAGCGUGACGGCGCGAGCAGGUGCGAAAGCAGGUCAUAGUGAUCCGGUGGUUCUGAAUGGAAGGGCCAUCGCUCAACGGAUAAAAGGUACUCCGGGGAUAACAGGCUGAUACCGCCCAAGAGUUCAUAUCGACGGCGGUGUUUGGCACCUCGAUGUCGGCUCAUCACAUCCUGGGGCUGAAGUAGGUCCCAAGGGUAUGGCUGUUCGCCAUUUAAAGUGGUACGCGAGCUGGGUUUAGAACGUCGUGAGACAGUUCGGUCCCUAUCUGCCGUGGGCGCUGGAGAAUUGAGGGGGGCUGCUCCUAGUACGAGAGGACCGGAGUGGACGCAUCACUGGUGUUCGGGUUGUCAUGCCAAUGGCACUGCCCGGUAGCUAAAUGCGGAAGAGAUAAGUGCUGAAAGCAUCUAAGCACGAAACUUGCCCCGAGAUGAGUUCUCCCUGAGACUUUAAGUCUCCUGAAGGAACGUUAAAGACGAUGACGUUGAUAGGCCGGGUGUGUAAGCGCAGCGAUGCGUUGAGCUAACCGGUACUAAUGAACCGUGAGGCUUAACCUU
rnacentral:rRNA from 1 species